GCCCGGGCAGCUGCAGGGGGAUCCUGAUUGUGGUGGGGGUGGUCUGAGUCCCGGGGCCUGCCAUCACCUCUGCUCUAGCCCUUCCUCAACCCUGCGUGGCCGCUGGCCCUGGGUCGUUUCAUAAAGCACGUCUUUGUUAGCGGUGGGUGGGCUAUAGGGAAGUCCUGGUCUGUUGUGAGGUGCGUCGGGCCCGGUAUGGGGUCACAGAGCCGUCCUCUGAGCACUCUCACUUCGCUUCCCGCCUCAAAGUGAAGAAGUGGAACAUAGGAGAGAGAUGGAAAUUCUUUAAACAGUUUACCCAGGAAAGCCAAGAGCCCUUCGCGAUAGC